rnacentral:tRNA from 1 species
AUUGUCGUCGCCGAGUGGUAAAGGCGAUGGACUAGAAAUCUUUUGGGAUCUUCCCGCGCAGGUUCGAAUCCUGCCGACAUCG